UAUACCGAUGCGAUGACGAUCGGCUGGU
rnacentral:sRNA from 1 species